rnacentral:rRNA from 1 species
UCGGGAAUUUUGGGCAGUGGGCGAAAGCCUGACCCAGCAACGCCGCGUGAGGGAUGAAGUAUUUCGGUAUGUAAACCUCGAAAGAAUGGGAAGAAUAAAUGACGGUACCAUUUAUAAGCACCGGCUAACUCCGUGCCAGCAGCCGCGGUAAUACGGAGGGUGCGAGCGUUAUCCGGAUUUACUGGGUUUAAAGGGUGCGUAGGUGGGCUUAUAAGUCAGUGGUGAAAUCUCCGAGCUUAACUUGGAAACUGCCGUUGAUACUAUAGGUCUUGAAUUAUCUGGAGGUAAGCGGAAUAUGUCAUGUAGCGGUGAAAUGCUUAGAUAUGACAUAGAACACCAAUUGCGAAGGCAGCUUACUACAUAUAAAUUGACGCUGAGGCACGAAAGCGUGGGGAUCAAACA